GACGAACGCUGGCGGCGUGCUUAACACAUGCAAGUCGAGCGGUAAGGCCCUUUCGGGGGUACACGAGCGGCGAACGGGUGAGUAACACGUGGGUGACCUGCCCUCAGCUCUGGGAUAAGCCUGGGAAACUGGGUCUAAUACCGGAUAUGACUCCAUGACGCAUGUUGUGGGGUGGAAAGCCUUGUGCGGCUGAGGAUGGGCCCCGCGGCCUAUCAGCUUGUUGGUGGGGUGAUGGCCUACCAAGGCGACGACGGGUAGCCGGCCUGAGAGGGCGACCGGCCACACUGGGACUGAGACACGGCCCAGACUCCUACGGGAGGCAGCAGUGGGGAAUCUUGCGCAAUGGGCGAAAGCCUGACGCAGCGACGCC
rnacentral:rRNA from 1 species